rnacentral:misc_RNA from 1 species
UGGUUCUGGCAUCGAUGAAGAACGCAGCGAAAUGCGAUAAGUAAUGUGAAUUGCAGAAUUCAGUGAAUCAUCGAAUCUUUGAACGCACAUUGCGCCCAUUAGUAUUCUAGUGGGCAUGCCUGUUCGAGCGUCAUUACAACCCUUAAGCUUAGCUUAGUGUUGGGAAUCUACGGAACGGUGCUACUUGUAGCUAUCGUGUAGUUCCUGAAAUUGAACGGCGGAGUUAUAGUAUCCUCUGAGCGUAGUAAAUUAUUCUCGCUUUUGUUGGUGCUAUAUCCCCUGCCGUUAAACCCCCAACUUUUAAUGUUUGACCUCGGAUCAGGUAGGAAUACCCGCUGA